rnacentral:rRNA from 1 species
CCUGCCGGACCUGACUGCUAUCGGAUUGAUACUAAGCCAUGCGAGUCUUUGUAGUAAUACAAGGCAGACGGCUCAGUAACACGUAGUCAACCUACCCUAUGGACAAGAAUAAUCUCGGGAAACUGGGCAUAAUUCUUGAUAGAUCAUAAUGCCUGGAAUGGUUUAUGGUUAAAAUGAUUCGUCGCCAUAGGAUGGGACUGCGGCCUAUCAGCUUGUUGGUGAGGUAAUGGCCCACCAAGGCGAUUACAGGUACGGGCUCUGAGAGGAGAAGCCCGGAGAUGGGUACUGAGACACGGACCCAGGCCCUAUGGGGCGCAGCAGGCGAGAAAACUUUGCAAUGUGCGAAAGCACGACAAGGUUAAUCCGAGUGAUUUCUGCUAAAGAAAUCUUUUACCAGUCAUAAAACCACUGGUGAAUAAGGGGUGGGCAAGUUCUGGUGUCAGCCGCCGCGGUAAAACCAGCACCUCAAGUGGUCAGGAUGAUUGUUGGGCCUAAAGCAUCCGUAGCCGGCUUUGUUAGUUUUCGGUUAAAUCCAUGUGCUCAACACAUGGGCUGCCGAAAAUACUGCAUGGCUAGGGAGUGGGAGAGGUAGACGGUACUCAGUAGGAAGGGGUAAAAUCCUUUGAUCUAUUGAUGACCACCUGUGGCGAAGGCGGUCUACCAGAACACGUUCGACGGUGAGGGAUGAAAGCUGGGGGAGCAAACCGGAUUAGAUACCCGGGUAGUCCCAGCUGUAAACGAUGCAGACUCGAUGAUGCAUUGGCAUAAUAGCCAAUGCAGUGUCGCAGGGAAGCCGUUAAGUCUGCCGCCUGGGAAGUACGUACGCAAGUAUGAAACUUAAAGGAAUUGGCGGGGGAGCACCACAAGGGGUGAAGCCUGCGGUUCAAU